rnacentral:rRNA from 1 species
GACGAACGCUGGCGGUGUGCUUAACACAUGCAAGUCGAACGGUAAGGCCCUUUCGGGGGUACACGAGUGGCGAACGGGUGAGUAACACGUGAGUAACCUGCCCUCAUCUCUGGGAUAACAGUCGGAAACGGUUGCUAAUACUGGAUAUGAGCUUGCAAGGCAUCUUGUGGGUUGGAAAGAUUUUUUUUGGUUGGGGAUGGACUCGCGGCCUAUCAGCUUGUUGGUGAGGUAGUGGCUCACCAAGGCUUCGACGGGUAGCCGGCCUGAGAGGGCGACCGGCCACAUUGGGACUGUGAUACAGCCCACACUCCUACGGGAGGCCGCAGUGGGGAAUAUUGCACCAUGGACGGAAGUCUGAUGCAGCAACGCCGCGUGCGGGAUGACGGCCUUCGGGUUGUAAACCGCUUUCAAUUGUGACGAAGCUUUUUUGUGACGGUAGCAGUAGAAGAAGCACCGGCUAACUACGUG